GGACCUUACUGCUAUCGGGAUAGGACUAAGACAUGUUAGUCGAGCGUUUCUCAGCUAUGAAAGAAACGCGGCAGACGGCUCAGUAACAUGUGGCUAACCUGCCCUUAGGACGGAGAUAACCCCGGGAAACUGGGGCUAAUAUUUGAUAGGUGUGGACUCCUGGAAUGGAUCCACACUCAAAGGGUGCUUAGAUCAUGCUUUAAGCGUCGCCUAAGGAUGGGGCCGCAGCCGAUCAGGUUGUUGGCGAGGUAACGGCUCACCAAGCCUAUAACCGGUACGGGCCGCGGGAGCGGUAGCCCGGAGAUGGACACUGAGACAAGGGUCCAGGCCCUACGGGGCGCAGCAGUCGCGAAAACUCCGCAAUACACGAAAGUGUGACGGGGCUAUCCCGAGUGCCGUCCGCUGAGGAUGGCUUUUCUCCAGUGUAAGGAGCUGGAGGAAUAAGGAGAGGGCAAGUCUGGUGUCAGCCGCCGCGGUAAUACCAGCUCUCCGAGUGG
rnacentral:rRNA from 1 species